UUUCAUGUGGGAGACCCAAUGGUUACUAUAUGCAAGAGUAUGUAGUAAUACUUUUUUAUGGUAAAGAAAGUAAUCUUGGAGAAAGGUUUCAGGCCAAAGUGUCUCUUCUGUUACUUGGCUGAAUGAAAUCCCUUGCUAAUUUAUAUCAUCCUGAGCAAAAGGAACAAAGCUGGAGGCAUCACACUACCCGACUUCAAAAUAUACUACAAGGUUAUAGUAACCAAAAGAGAGAGCAUGGUAUUGGUAUAAAAACAGACACAUAGACCAACAAAACAGGACAGAGAACCCAGAAAUAAAUCCAUGUUUCUAUGGCCAACUGAUUUUUGACAAAGGUGCCAAGAACAUAUAUUGGGGAAAAGACACCCUUUUCAAUAAAUGGUGCUGGGAGAACUGGAUAUCCAUAUGCAGAAGAACGAGAAUGUACCCCUAUCUCUCAACAUAUACAA
rnacentral:lncRNA from 1 species